GUUUUGUCGUCUGCAUUGACCUCGCUAUUAAUAUGUUUACAGACAUAUUCUCCUGCACAUGCUAAAAACAUAAUGCUGGAAUCACAAUACCCUGUAACAGCACCGAGAUGACAAAAACAACACCACAGCCAUCAAGAAGUAAGGUCGUAGUGAAGUCAGCCCACGAAAAGUGAACCCCAACAGCCCAUCAGAAACAUAAUUUGGGUAUUAUUAAAGAUGUAGUAACGUAAACAUUUUUUUGUGAAAUAUUUCAUGCUUAAGUUUAGUUUAUUGUUCUUUUGAUAGAUGUGACGUAAAAUAAACUCAAUUGAAUUGCCACCUCAGUACUAAAGAUGACUAUAUAGGUACACCUGAUGAUGAUAAUCUGUCGUGCCAUUUCAAACAUAUGAUAUAAAUCAUGCAAUAUUUUACUUACUUAACUGUCGGUUGUCAGGUAAUUGUGAUUUUCGGUCACUAGAUUGCAUUUAAUUUCAACUAAUGACCUGGAAUUAAAACAUUAAUUAUAAUCACAACACUUUGUAUGCUACUUUUACAAAUUAUUUCUAAGAUAAUGGACAUAAUUUUUUUAAAUCAUGUCGUUCGAGUGUUAGGACUGUAUGGUCGCGUUUUAACUUAUGAUAGUUUUACAUUAUGGCACUUUUCCGUCGCCCCCCGGCGGAAUUCCUAGAUUAUGGUAGUCUUCCAGUAUGGCAGUCUUCCAGUCUUCCUUUAUGACAGUCUUCCGUCGACCCCCGUCAAAACAGAAUGAAAUGUGCCAUAAUGGAAAACUACCAUAUUUUUAUUUUUUACAGAUCGUAGUUAUAAGUAUACUAUAACCCAUUUUUGGAAACAUUUGUUUUUAUUAGUGUGCGAUCUGUUGAGUUAAUUUAUGGCUGGAUCUACAGAAAGUCACCAUCAGAAGCGCUAUCUGUAACCUUUUAAGUUAACCUAAGAAACAACUAGGGGGUUAACAGCGCUACCUAGCGAUGUAUUCUUCACACUACUUCGAGAGAGCAGCUGUAUAAGCUGUAUAAGAAAAUAUGGCAGAAUUCCGCCUCAUCCUUUAAAAUUAUGGCAGUUUUCCGUUAUGGUAUUUUCCCGCCUUUUUCGAAGAGGCCAGGCGGAAUACUUUUAUUAUGGUAGUUUUCCCGUAUGGUAGUUUUCCGUCGCCCCUUAGCGUCAUACUGGCGAAGGAAUGAAAUGUGGGAAGGUCCUUUGCAGCGUGGUGAGGGGUGUGUGGUUCCUCAAAUCUAAACGUUCCUACAAAAAAGAGCUAUUCGUAUAAUGACACAUGACAAAAUGUCAGCUCACUGUAAACAAAAAUUCAGAAAACUUAAAAUCUUAACAGUCAUAAACGAGUAUAUACUAAGAAUACUAUUAUUCAUACAUAAGGAGAAACGCUAUUUACAAAAAAAAUCUAGAUAUUCAUUUAUACAACACAAGAAACUCCAAUAAAUUGAGAAUAACAGGUCAUAAUACCAGUCAGUAUGAAAGGGGCACAAAUUACAUAGGCAUAAAAAUUUACAACUUAUUACCACAAAAUGUCACAAAUAUAACCGAUUUAACUAUAUUCAAAAGAACAAUCAAACAAGUUCUGUUAGAACAUCCUUCCUACUCUCUGAUAGAAUUCUUUGACCUAAUAACAGAUAAGAAAACUAAACUCUGGUAAAUUUUAUUUAAAAACAUCAGAAAACGAGAAAAAUAUUGAGUUUUGUAAACUAGGUAACUCUUCACUCUGAGGUUUAGACUUCAGUUUAUACAAUUUCUUGUGUACCCAUGUUCUUUUUUAUGUAUCCAUGUUUUUUUUUGUUUUUUUUUAAAUCUCUUUCUUACGUUUGAAAUGUAAAAAGUACUGUGUAAUAUUUAAUUUUUUGUGGUUGUACAGUUUGUUUGUAUAUAUGUAUAUAUUUGUAUUAAUUGACUUGUUCUAUAUCCCGGAGUCCUUACCUCCAUAUGGGAUCUACAGAACAAAAAUUGAAUAAAUAAAUAAAUAAAAUAAAUACUUUUAGAACGACGCUCGUAAAAUAAGCCAACAUGGGGAAGUUAACAGCACAACAGAUGGCGUAACUAUAACUACACCGUUGAUGUCCGUGGCGAAUUCGAUCAGAUGGGGGCCCUCCUUUCAAUGCAAAUAAAUCCCGACCAAUGUUGCAGUUUCUUUUUAAUAAACCACUACGUGAAGUACAAACUCUAUCAUAAUUAUUGUGUUCAUUUGUUGUUGAUUUCCUAGUAAUUUUCAAUUUAAAGAGCGUAUUGGAUUGAAAUAGCAUUUUUAUUUUUUAGACAAAUUUUUAAUUAUUAAAAUUCUUUUCUUUUUUUUCUCGGUAUUCUGUUCAGCAAAAGUGGUGACAACAAAAAAAUUCAAAUUUCGGGCCACGGAAUGUUUGAUGGAUGGAAUGGCUAAUAUAAUAGGUAUAAUAAGGGGCGGCUCAUGGAUUAAUUUAAGGGUAGGCCCAGACUGUACCACAGGGGCGUAUGCAUAGUUAUGGGAGCCCGGACUCUAUGGGGGAAGUGGGGAGGGAGGGAGAGUUUGGCCCCCAUAUCAGAAGGUGGUCCGGGGAAUUUUUAAAAUUCAGAUGCCAAAUGGGAAGUUUUGUGGCUUUCUGGGGAAAUUUAUUUCUGUCUUAAGUCCAAGAUAUAUAAUAUUUUAAUAAAAAGAAUUAUUAUAAACGUAUAACUGCAUGUCAAAAACACAAUUUAAUACCUACAAAAAUCACAAAAUUAAUUGUUGGGAUUAAACUUGUGUUAGUAUAAGGCGAAUGUAUGGUUUCAUUUCAUAGCAAACUGGCCUCCUCAGAAGGGCAGGUGAUUACUUACAGAUUCUUAUCAAAGUAAGAUUUACUUUUCUUAUAGUUAUCAAAUUAAAUUUAAUGUUUAAUAUGAAUAGCGUAUUUUUAUAAAAGUACUAUUUACAAAUUUAAAUUUUUGAAAAUGUUGGGUAGGCCCGGGCCUACCUGCUAGAGCCACCUCCAAUAAAAAAAAAUCCCAGUUCUUGCCUGGACUGAUUUUGAAAAACCAUAUAAAAUGAAAUCAGGAUUGCUGGUGUGGUAUUUUUAACCCAGGUUCUCAGAAAUAAGAGUCCAGUGUCUUACGGCUAUGCCACCUAGUUCCCUAGUAGGAAUCCAUCCGUAAGGCGCAAGGGCCCACACAGAAUCAGACAAGACGCAACACAACACCAUAUGAUGCCUCGCGACAGAUUCACACUGUAUUUUCAUUACCCGAUACGGUGUAAACAAGUGCAGGAAAUGGCAUUUCUAGAUGAUGAUGGUAAUGGUGUGCUUUUGUGGAGUGUUUUUUUCUAUUGUGGAAGAUGAGAAAAACUAACAACAUUUUUUGAUAUAUCAACUGGAAUUAAAAAUGUUUUGUAAGUAGGCUCAUGAAAUAAUAAUAAAUGUUUAGAGAAUUUACUGAAUGGCAAUUAAUACUUUUGAUUAUCUUCUCCGGUACUUUCCUGUACUAAACAUACUAAAAAAAACUUCAUCCAGCUCCAUACUGAGAAAAAGUCAACAAAAAUAAUUUAUAAAAGUGGAUAUUAACUAAAAAAAAAAAAUGAAAAA